GUUUGGUUAGAUGAUUUGGCAGAACGAUAGCCAGUUUUAUAGCGGUGCCUCCGUUAGCAUUCAAAAAAUUCUACUUUAACGUCAAGCUAGCGGCGCACUCUAUCGUCUCGUUUUUCCCAGACAUACACUCUCAAUUUAUUCUACAUCUCGCAGUUCGAAAAGCUGUAAUUGCUUCCGUUUGUAUUGGGCAUUGAGUGCGCAUGCGCGGAGAUUCAACAUCGCGCAUACCUGAGUAGACGCCAGUUCGUUCCCAUCGAAACAUCAGGCAUGGCUGAAGAAAGAAGCAACGAAUACACGCCUCCUGUGUUCAGCUUCAUGGACGAAGCAACCAUAAGUUCAAGCCGUGAAAACACCCAGGCCGCUUCGUCUUCUUUGAGCGCCUACCCAACAAUUCCUGAGACCACCGGCGUUGACGAAUGGAACACGCAGUACCACCCGGCUGGUGCGGUAUCGACCGUCUCCGGGCAUACACACAGCACAGAAAUCGGAAGCACAAAUUCCACACUUCUGGCUUACAGCAGCAGUGGCGGCGUCUACAAUGCAGAGGCCAGCACAAGCUAUGCGCGCAUGUAGGAGCCAUCCGGCAUUUUCGGAAACGACGCUUGGAAUUCUACAGGAAGCGGAGGAAAGGAAGAACAAGAGUUGUUCGGUGUCUGUGGCAAUGUUUCGAGCGGACAGGACGCCUUACAUGGACACGCCAACGAACGCACGGGCGAUACAGCCCCCACUUGCGAAACAAGCGAUGUAACCUUUGUCAAGGAUUCGAAAUUCUUAAAACAUUGCCGGAAUAGAACAGGCAAACCACACAAAUGCGAAUCUUGUGGCAAAUCGUCCGGCCAGGCUGCUAAUCUCGCUGCACAUUGCCGCAGACAUACAUGCAUGAAACCCUACAUUUUCAUUAUAUGUGAUCAAUCGUUCCGGCAGUCUGUCCACCUAGAUAACCAUAUGUGUACGCAUACAGGCGAGAAACCCUACGUUUGCAAUAUCUGUGAUAAAUCGUACCGGCAGUCUGUCCACCUAGAUAACCAUAUGCGCAGACAUAUAGGCGAGAAACCCUACGUUUGCAAUAUAUGUGAUAAAUCGUUCCGGCAGUCUGUCCACCUAGAUAACCAUAUGCGCACACAUACAGGCGAGAAACCCUACGUUUGCAAUAUAUAUGAUCAAUCGUUCCGGCAGUCUACUCAUCUAGAUAACCACAUGCGCACGCAUAC